rnacentral:misc_RNA from 1 species
UCCGGUUUAUCACCGGCAGUCCAUGCAGCACCUGUGUCCAGGUUCCCUUUCGGGCACCCCUCCAUCUCUGGAGGGUUCCUGGCAUGUCAAGGGUAGGUAAGGUUUUUCGCGUUGCAUCGAAUUAAUCCACAUAAUCCACCGCUUGUGCGGGUCCCCGUCAAUUCCUUUGAGUUUUAGCCUUGCGGCCGUACUCCCCAGGCGGUCAACUUCACGCGUUAGCUUCGUUACCAAGGAAUUACUUCCCCGACAACCAGUUGACAUCGUUUAGGGCGUGGACUAC